GCCUGUUUACCAAAAACAUCGCCUCCUGCAACAUAACCAAGUAUAGGAGGUCCAGCCUGCCCAGUGACCACAAGUACAACGGCCGCGGUAUUUUGACCGGGCAAAGAUAGCGCAAUCACUUGUCUUUUAAAUAGAGACCUGUAUUAAUGGCUAAACGAGGGCUUAACUGUCUCCCCUUUCAAGUCAGUGAAAUUGAUCUGCCCGUGCAGAAGCGGGUAUAAUAAUACAAGACGAGAAGACCCUUUGGAGCUUAAGGUACAAAACUCAGCCACGUCAAGCAACUUAAUAAAAAGCAAAAACCUUGUGGAAUAUGAUAUUUUACCUUCGGUUGGGGCGACCACGGAGGAAAGAAAAGCCUCCAAGUGGAUCUGGGAAAAUUUCCUAAAGCUAAGAGAGACAUCUCUAAGCCGCAGAACAUCUGACCAAACAUGAUCCGGCAACAAAGCCGAUCAACGAACCAAGUUACCCUAGGGAUAACAGCGCAAUCCUCUCCCAGAGUCCAUAUCGACGAGGGGGUUUACGACCUCGAUGUUGGAUCAGGACAUCCUAAUGGUGCAGCCGCUAUUAAGGGUUCGUUUGUUCAACGAUUAAAGUCCUACGUGAUCUGAGUUCAGACCGG
rnacentral:rRNA from 1 species